AUCGCAGAGUGAGGAAAUGUGCUGGCUUAGUCAGACAUGGCUACAUGCAUCACAUGAUCAACGCUGCCCUACAAUCCCCCGCUGUGUGCAACAAGUCAAGCUGCAGUCAGAGGACAAUAGAUCCAUCGUGGAAUGUCUGACAACACUCCUCAUGUCACUCGGUGCAACAAGGGAAGUCACAAGUUCUACUGGCCUUGGGCAGAACUCUAGGAAGCAUGGACACAGGUAGAGAUCAUUCAUGGUUCAGCUCUCCCGAGAGCGCGCCUCCACCAACACCCCACCAUGUUCGAGUGCUGAAGAGCAGAGGAAGGAAAGGACAGACACAUCACAGGGUCUACAGCCUCUGACGUCACAGCUUCCUACACCUUUAACCUAUGACCAAUCUGAACUCAACAGAGGUGAAAGAUUGAUACUUUGGCUGGACAUAUCGUUUCUCCCAUCAUUAUUGGCUGUGACUGCAAAGGAAAGAGUUGUAGAGGCAUCUGAUGGAAGCUCAAGAAAGAAAUGGAAAACAUGCUUCAACAGUAUGUCAGUUUUCAAAUACGUCUUAAAAUCAUUUAAACACAUAUAAUGACCAACAUCAACCAGCUACAACCCUGAGACCUACAACAGUGACGUGCCUGCAAGAUAUACUGGUACAGUCGUGGCCAUAUUUGUUAUGGGAAGACCCAACCAUCUUUUCAUUGGAUACAAGGCCCAAUCCAUUACAUGGAGCCCAUAUAUGACACUGCUAUAGUAUCUAAGAACCUGAGACUGGUUAGGUAAUGAGCCCAGGGGAAAACCACAUACUAUUGUUACAAAAUGACUCCUAAUAACAUUCCGCUAUACCCAUAGAUCAGUGCUUUGUUCGGCCCUCAUCAGAUACAACAGAACUGACACACACAGAACAUGAACUCACAGAGGCUACAGCAGCAUGCAUAGUUCAAGCCAGACAGAGUCCCAACACUGAGAGGAGGAAGCGGAUGAGAGUCCCACCCCUAACCAAGAAACUAUAACUGGUUCCCACUGGCAAAGGGGAUGGAUCAGCAGCCAUGCCAUAACAACACUGAUGAAAACUACAGAGACUCACUGACUUGGAACUGAGGCCUCCUGAAAAUAGCCAUGUGCUGUGGCUCCGGUUGACUCUCCUCGGUGAGUACAACAGCCUGGAGGACAUAGCAUUGCAGCUAACUUAUCUGAGAAUGAAAAGUGAGACCAGAGUUCCUGGAAAUGAAACCUAGGACCUGACACGGAGCAAGACCAAAGCUUUGCUGGCUGAGAAAAGGCACACUUGAAGACAGUUUCCAAGUACUUCUACAAGUUCAAUAUGGGCUAUUAAAGUGAAAGAUGUUGCACAUGAAACAACUGCAUCCUUGAGCUAUGCUCGGUGUUGGUGGCUUUCCUUGAGGCUUGGGGCCUCAAGACUUCAUCAGCCACUCUGCAACACCCCAUGUGAACUCUUAGCAACAUGCAGUAUUUUGACAUCAGCCUGCUUGAGCUCCUUGAUCCUGAAACACUCUGUUCAUCAGUGUGUCCUCUUGCCAUUUUCAGAUAUUGGGUUACAGUCAACUGUAGGGUACACCUGUAGCCAGCCCCUAAACAGGCACGGCUACAGCAUCCCCUGCAGUCAACAUUUCAGGCUAUUGGCCUCUCAUUUGGUCUCUGAUUUCCUGUCUUUUUUCAGCAUUUCCCACAAACUCAGCUCACAGACAACUUUGACUUUUAGAGAACUAACAGAG
ensembl:lncRNA